rnacentral:lncRNA from 1 species
GGCAAAGACCGAGGACGAGGAGCACACUACACUACUACACAACAUAGAGAUAGAGUUCCCAGAAGAGAGAACAGAGAACCCGAGAGCCAAGAAACGCGCAGAGCAGAGCAGACCAGCGCAAAGAAGGGCGCAGCAGGGCGAGAAACCUCAGAACUGGGCUAGAAAAGGAGAAGGAGUCCAAGAAGAAGCGACAUGGAAGAGGAGACAAGAGGAGUACGUACCACCCAUUAAGAGCAGGUGCAUGAAGGCGCCUGCCUGCCUGAGCCCGAUCAGCUGGCUGCACACGCCGUGAUGAUGAUGAGCAGCAGCGGCAGCAGGCUUUGGUUGUGAGGUGCUGGAGCUGAUGCAGAGUGGCACAAGCACAGCGCACGAGUGGGGGAAGGGGAGGGGACAAGGAUGAUGAUGGGGCGUGUCAGUG